AGUGAACGCUGGCGGUAGGCCUAACACAUGCAAGUCGAACGGCAGCACAGUAAGAGCUUGCUCUUACGGGUGGCGAGUGGCGGACGGGUGAGGAAUACAUCGGAAUCUACUUUUUCGUGGGGGAUAACGUAGGGAAACUUACGCUAAUACCGCAUACGACCUACGGGUGAAAGCAGGGGAUCUUCGGACCUUGCGCGAUUGAAUGAGCCGAUGUCGGAUUAGCUAGUUGGCGGGGUAAAGGCCCACCAAGGCGACGAUCCGUAGCUGGUCUGAGAGGAUGAUCAGCCACACUGGAACUGAGACACGGUCCAGACUCCUACGGGAGGCAGCAGUGGGGAAUAUUGGACAAAGGGCGCAAGCCUGAUCCAGCUAUACCGCGUUGGUGAAGAAGGCCUUCGGGUUGUAAAGCCCUUUUGUUGGGAAAGAAAAGCAGCAGGUUAAUACCCCGCUGUUCUGACGGUACCCAAAGAAUAAGCACCGGCUAACUUCGUG
rnacentral:rRNA from 1 species